rnacentral:rRNA from 1 species
UUAAAAAAAAAAUUUUUUUUCUCCAGGAUGAACGCUGGCGGUCUGCUUAACACAUGCAAGUCGAACGGAAUCCUUCGGGAUUUAGUGGCGGACGGGUGAGUAACACGUGAGAAUCUGCACUCAGGAUGGGGACAACAGCGGGAAACUGCUGCUAAUACCCAAUGUGCCGAAAGGUAAAAGAUUUAUCGCCUGAGAAUGAGCUCGCGGCCGAUUAGUUAGUUGGUGGGGUAAUGGCCUACCAAGACGGCGAUCGGUAGCUGGUCUGAGAGGAUGAGCAGCCACACUGGGACUGAGACACGGCCCAGACUCCUACGGGAGGCAGCAGUGGGGAAUUUUCCGCAAUGGGCGCAAGCCUGACGGAGCAAGACCGCGUGGGGGAGGAAGGCUCUUGGGUUGUAAACCCCUUUUCUCAGGGAAGAAGUUCUGACGGUACCUGAGGAAUCAGCCUCGGCUAACUCCGUGCCAGCAGCCGCGGUAAUACGGAGGAGGCAAGCGUUAUCCGGAAUUAUUGGGCGUAAAGCGUCCGUAGGUGGUGGGGCAAGUCGGCGGUUAAAGACUGGGGCUUAACUCCAGAAAGGCCGUGGAAACUGCACCACUAGAGGGCAGUAGGGGUAGAGGGAAUUCCCGGUGUAGCGGUGAAAUGCGUAGAGAUCGGGAAGAACACCAGUGGCGAAAGCGCUCUACUGGACUGCAACUGACACUCAGGGACGAAAGCUAGGGGAGCGAAUGGGAUUAGAUACCCCAGUAGUCCUAGCCGUAAACGAUGAACUAGGUACGU